rnacentral:sRNA from 2 species
GCCAGGAAAAACGAAGUGACAGAUCGAUAGUUUUGUAUCAGUCUCGAUGGAUACCCGCGCUCUUCACUUUCCUCAUUUGUUGCAAAUCCCAACACCUUCCUUGCCUGACUAUCUCGUUUCAUAGUCUAAUGUUGUGUUAUUUGAAAACCUAUGUUGCUACAUUGGCAGAGCAUAUUUAAGCCGAGUUACUUGUCUGUGGAUAGUGUUGGGGGUGAGCUCUUUUGCCCCAGUCACCACCUAACAGAUAUUUAGGCCACUAUUGGUUAGUUAAACUCCCAUGCACCGGGCGUAAGCUCUGACAUUUCUCCAUAGGAACAAUAUCCAGUGGUGGGAAGGAAAUACAAAAGGGAAUACUUAACAUCCUUGGCGGCAUCUAGCGAUGUAUUUUCUUAGCUUUGACAGGGAUAUUCGGCUUUCUGUCUUCAGCGGAAUAGCUUUUUCUUUCUGAAAUUUGAUCCUAAAAUUCAUCAAAAUUAUCUUAUUAGAUAGCUCUGAUGAUGGCAUCUCCCUUUAAUACUAACUAGUUAAUAGUGCUUUAUAUCCUGUUUGAUGCCGAAGUUUUCAUAAUUUGCGGCCCCUUGGACAAUUAUAUACUGAAUGCCAAUGGCGUGAGAAACCUUGAUGUAAUCCCUAGCCUUCUGCGUAAAGCCUCUCCAUCAUCGAUUACCUCGCCUUGCUGGAAUGAUACAGGCAACAAGGAUGAAAGUGAGCGCCCGAGGUAACUUCUGGCAGAGAAUGGUGGAUAUCAUUGCAUUAUUCGACCCUCUCCAAAAGAACGAAGCAGAGAUGUAAAUAGUUUAUACAUUCUUUUAUAAAAUGAUAUAGAAUAAUUACAAUUGUGUAUUUUCGUUACUUGUAUUAGAGGGUAAAAGAGAUGUUCGAAAUGGAGUCAAAAACCGUCAUAAGCUUGAUGGGAGGAACAAGCUAAGAAGUACCCGGCGAGCGACUUGAUGUCCUAAGGUUGGUAACAAGGAGUGGAAGGAAAGAGUCACUGCAAAACCCAGAGGAAUGAAAUUAGAAACAAGAGAAAACAAGAACACCGAAUGAAUAUACCAUUGAUGUUCUUCCUCAAUAUGCCCGUUUUAAUGUAAGAAAAACGAAAAGAAACAAAAAAAAUGAGUAUCGCGUACGCUACACCCCUAUCUCAUCAUGGGGAUGAACAAAAAACACCUUCAGUUUCAGAGAUCAGGAUGCGAGCUCAUAGAUCCCUCGAGAAGGAAGCACGGCGCCAGGAGGAAGACAUGUUUCUUCUAGUUCCGCUAAUGAGCUACGGCUGUCUGUGGGAGAGUCGUACUCGGGAGGAUCCCCCCGAGAGGAAACCGG